rnacentral:rRNA from 1 species
AGUUCUGAGCUAAAUAUAUUUAUAAUAUUAGUUAUUCAUGAAGGUGUUGUAAAAUCUUUAUUUAAAAUUAUAUUUAGGGGUGAUAGGCCUUUCAAAAACUAAGAUAUCUUGAAUCUAAUUAAAAGUAUGUAGUACAAUUAACACAACUAUUAAGUGAUUAGGCUUUAUAGAAUUAUUAACUUAUAAGAUUUUAUUUACUAUAAUUUAAUAAUUAAGUACAUAAAUAUAUUAAUAUUCAUAUAUUAUAGUUUAUAAAAGAGUAAUUAGAUAGAUUUAAGUUCAUAUUUCUUAUAAUAAUGUUAAUAUUAGUAUUAAGUUUAUAUUUAUAUGAUGAACUCGGCAAAAAUACUUUCUCAACUGUUUAUCAAAAACAUAACUAUGUGAUUGAAUACAUAGCGGUUUCUGCUCAA